UACCAAUGGUUCGAGGGAUCAGAGAUCCAAACACGACUCAAAAUCGUGUUGCGCAAGGAGUGUCGGUUCGACCCCGACCAUCGGUAUC
rnacentral:tRNA from 1 species